GAAAAUUAUUUUAAAUAUCAAUGGCCACAGACAGUUGGUUGAUUACGUUUUAUUUUUAAGUUAUUUUUAAGUGAGAGUAACAAAAUUUAGACAAAUUUGACGUGUUCUUGAUAAGAAUAAUGUAAACAGGAUUUCUUUCUAAAAAUUUUUCAUCAAAAAAAGAAGAAUACAAGUAGUUUUGAUUUAUCAAAUGGUAUACUAUAAAUAAGUAUAAGUAAAAUGGCAAUGGCAAUGCGGAAACGAAGUGGUUCGGGAUCAAAAAGACAGCAUAAAGGGAAGCUGGUUCCAAUUUAUGAAAGCUUCUUCAAGGGAGAGGAUUUAACAUCGGCUCAUCCAAAUUUUUGGAAUGAAUUAUUUCUUAUCAAGCCAAUGGUUUCUCAUAUUGAAAAUGAAAUACUACACAUGACAGCUGAACAAUUAAGUGCAAGUCGAGAGAAUUUGAAUUCUCUAGUAAGUCAUUGCGUGGAUACAUUAGUUGAUGAACAUCCAUUUCGAGUUGUAUACGCACUUCAAACUUUGGCUGCAGUUAUACAAUCCAUGUAUAAAAAAGCAAGUCAAAGUGAAUUUGGUUUUAAUUUGAUAGAUAUUUUAGUAGGUUUUGACUCUGCUGAACAAAGAAUGACAACUUUGAUGCAACACUGCAACAAUUUUCUUACAGGCGAAUAUCCUGAUAGUUUAAAGGCAUUAUGUUUAAAACUUUUGUUAAUUAUUGUUACUGGAAUGGAUAAUGUGAGCCAAAAUACUCUUUUGGAGUAUGUCAUGCUAAAUAGUGUCUUUGAAUCACUUAUUCAAUUACUGAGAGAUACUACGGCGAGGAAUCGUCAUGGAAAUGAUGCCGUUUUACUUCUCACGCUUUUGGUAAAUUACAGAAAACACGAGAGCGCAAAUCCUUAUAUUGUCAAACUUUCAAUUUUAGAUGAUGAACUUGCUCUUAAUGGAUAUGGACAAGUUAUAUCGAGUUCAUUAACUGAAUUUUGUCGUCAAUUUUCACAACAGAAAGCUGAGGUACAGGCCUCCUGGCUUUCAUCUUUGACAAGCAUUGUUGGGAAUAUGUUUGUUGGAGAAGAAGAAGCAAAAACCCAACAAGUUCGUGCGAAUAAUGCAUUACUUUUAGCUUUGUAUGAAGCUACACAUCUUAAUAGAAAUUUCGUAACAACUUUGGCGUAUACACAAACUGAUACUAGUGCUCCUCCUUCUCCAAAUAAUACAUUGGGACCAAAUGCAACUGCACCUGGUGCUAAUCAUCCGGAUGUAAUGGCUCAACCUUUUAAUUUACUAGCAACCUUUCUUCAAUACUGUUCAAUAGUUAUGCAGGCAAUCAGAACAGAAGCCAUAACGAAUAAUGUGAAACUUUGCUUUUUAAUAUUAAGCUGCAUUUCUGAAGAUCAAUAUGCAAAUAGUUUAAUGCACGAUGCAAAUUUAUCAUUUAAAGUCUAUUUGCAUAGAAUGCCGAUGCAUCAUAGAAAAAUUCAGGAUAAAGCUGCACCAACACAACCAUUAGCAGCAACACUUUUAGAUUUACUUGUUGAAUUUAUUACUUCACAUAUGAUGAAGAAAUUUCCUUUGGAAUUGUAUCAUCUUUGCAUUGGUGUUUUGCAAAGAUUGUUGUGUUAUCAGAAACGUUGUAGAAUAAGACUCGGAUAUCAGUGGAAGGAUUUAUGGACUGCUUUAAUAAAUCUCUUAAAAUUUCUGACAACACAUGAGAAUCAUUUGGUUAAGAAAAUGAAUAUUUUUCCACUUGCUAUUCAAGUUGUUAAUAUUUUGAAUUUAUUUAUCACUUAUGGAGAUACAUUUUUAUCAAGCCCCAGUAGUUAUGAUGAAUUAUUUUACGAAAUUAUUAGAAUGAGAUUAAUAUUUACGAAUUUGAAUGCUAUGGCUCUCAGGUUUUCGACUACUGAGUCGUAUGAAUAUAAAGAACACGCACUUAAAUUGACAAAUUCAUUAGUUAAUAUGAGGGAUAUUGUUAAUCAUUUUCCACCAAAAAUAUCCGCAUGGUUGCAAAGCGAGAGUUUAUCAACACCAACGGAACAACAAAUUUUAGGUGUUAUUAUACAAAACUAUGAUAGUCUUACACUUAAACUACAGGACAAUUUAGAUCAAUAUGAGAGGUAUUCGGAAAAACCUAAUCACACGGCCUUUUUUGAAGAAAUGGUAACGGGUGUUGUAAUUGAUACCCGAGGUUCUAUUGAUCUUACAACGCUAGAUACGCAAGCAAUUUUACAAGAGCUUUCUAAUAUUUCGUAACAUAUUCCAAUAAAUUCAAUGCCUCAUCCAAAAAGAAAUAUAGCGUCUUAAUACUUUUUAUUAGAAAGGAUGUCUAAUAUAUAAGAUUAAUUCCCGUUUCAAGGCCUUGUUCAUUUAGAAAAUAAAGUACAUCUUCAGUGGCAACAUUACCGGAGGCACCUUCAGCAUAUGGACAACCACCAAGACCGGCGACGGAAGAAUCAAAGCAUAUUCUCAGUUACCGAGCAAUUUGUAUUCUUACGUGAAAAUGUUUCUGAUGGAGAGCCAAAAAUUGCUAUUUCUUUUACGCCCACUUCAAUUGCUUUCUCAAGUCCUUUUACAUUUGGAACUAGAACUGGCGUUUUGACCAAUGAGAACGUAGUACCGUGUGUCGAGUAUUGGCAACACUGCCGGAAACCUAUGUCUCGGCCAUUUGCAUGGCGAAAGUCAAAGGAUAAGCAAGAGUUGUGAUCCUCAACUCAAAAAAAUUUAAUUAAAAAUGGUGAACGGUAGAAUACCGUCGGUCUUUUCUAAGACCUAUGUCACUCCAAGACGUCCUUAUGAGAAGGCCCGACUUGACCAAGAGUUGAGAAUAAUCGGUGAA